rnacentral:rRNA from 1 species
AGAACGAACGCUGGCGGCAGGCUUAACACAUGCAAGUCGAACGCUCGUAGCAAUACGGGAGUGGCAGACGGGUGAGUAACGCGUGGGAACAUACCCUCCGGUUCGGAAUAGCUCAGGGAAACUUGGAUUAAAUACCGGAUACGGCCGAGAGGCGAAGGAUUUAUCGCCGGAGGAUUGGCCCGCGUUCGAUUAGCUAGUUGGUGAGGUAACGGCUCACCAAGGCGAUGAUCGAUAGCUGGUCUGAGAGGAUGAUCAGCCACAUUGGGACUGAGACACGGCCCAAACUCCUACGGGAGGCAGCAGUGGGAAUAUUGGACAAUGGGCGCAAGCCUGAUCCAGCCAUGCCGCGUGGAUGAUGAAGGCCCUAGGGUUGUAAAGCCCUUUCGGCGGGGAAGAUAAUGACGGUACCCGCAGAAGAACGCCCGGCUAACUUCGUGCCAGCAGCCGC